UCAUUUUGCAACAAAAACAUUUAGGGGCUAGGGUUAACCCUAGCGCCGCUCCUGUUCCACCACCUACCCGCCCCUGUUCUUGGUUAUGUCCCAUCGGUUGGAGGCGUAAUAUGUGGAGGAGAGGACGAAGCAUUAAAAGCUUCGUCCUUCUCUCACCAGAAAACGUCCAAACAAGCCCUUAUGUCAACACCAGCCUCAAAGGCCCAAUAGGACUUCUAUUCAAAUUAGGAUCGAGUCCGCAAAGGAAAUAAUAGCGAGGCGAGCAGAAGGCCGAGUCAUGGGUGAAAAUGGCCAACUAGGGGCUUGGUACGCCCCUAAUCUAUCUCUCCUCGUCAUUGUUUUUUUAUAUAUGUUCAAGUCAAUGUAUUUGUAAAAUUUGUAUUAAACUCAUAUUAUAAUGGAACCUUAUGGUUUGAACUAGCCA